CUAGAGAAGGCUAGAGAAGGCUGGAGAAGGCUAGAGAAAGCUGGAGAAGGCUAGAGAAAGCUGGAGAAGGCUGGACUACAGAAGGUUAGAGAAGGCUAGAGAAGGUUAGAGAAGGCCAGAGAAGGCUGGGCUAGAGAAGGCUGGAGAAGGCUGGAGGAGGCUGGGCUAGAGGUUAGAGAAGGCUAGAUAAGGUUAGAGAAGGCCAGAGAAGGCUGGGCUAGAGAAGGCUGGAGGAGGCCAGGGAAGGUCAGAGGAGGCUGGAGGAGGCCGGAGGAGGCUGGGCUAGAGAAGGCUGAAGGAGGCUGGAGGAGGCUGGAGAAGGCUAGAGAAGGCUGGAGAAGGCUGGGCUACAGAAGGUUAGAGAAGGCUAGAGAAGGUUGGAGAAGGCCAGAGAAGGCUGGGCUAGAGAAGGCCGGAGGAGGCUGGAGGAGGCCAGAGAAGGCUGGGCUAGAGAAGGCUGGAGAAGGCUGAGCUAGAGGAGGCUGGAGGAGGC
rnacentral:lncRNA from 1 species